AAUUCCCAAGAAAUAAUAAACAACACGGUUAUAAACAGGUACUAUAUUAUUGUAUUACCCGUAGCCUAUAGCCGUGAUUGAAAAAUAACAGUCGGAAAAAUUCCAAGGAGGGGUCAAUCCACCCAUCGCUCGCCCUCAAAUACGCCACUGUAGCAGCACUCCUCGUUUUAAGAAUUGCUGUACUUUAAUUUGGAGCUAUAAUAAAAUCCAAUAACAGUAUCCAUUUAAAAAAUAUAUUUUUCUUUUCAGAAUUUAUGUUUUUCCCGAUAACGCACUCCGGGCUCAUAUUGAUGCUCAUAUUUACAUGUAAAUAUAAUAUCACAUAAUAUAUUAUUUCAUAAUAUUAAUAUUCGCAGUUGAUGCGACUCUCCCUUUCGGAAAAUGUAUCAAGAACCGAGAUUCUGAGAUUAUAAAAUGUAAAAAUAAUUAUAAAAAGAAUAUGUUAUCUAGUACUUAGUAUCUAUCUACUAUAUACUAUAAAUAUCUAUAAUAAUAAUAAAUCAUAAUAAUUUUAACGAUAAUCUGAAUAAAAAUAAUUAAUACCCCCGGGUAACGUUGAAUGUGAGUUUUACCCCAAUAGACCCAGACAUUUUUUUUUUCGUUACGUUGUGUUAACAUUGUUUUUAAAAUGCAGACGGGAUGGUGGAAUUGGGUCGGCGUGCGAUCGAGCAAAACUCGAUGGACCGCUACCUCAUUGAUUUUGAUCGAUGCUAGUAUAGUAGUCAUAACUGGGUUUCAAUAAUGGAAUAAUUUUUAUAUUCUAUAAGAAUGAACGAUUAGCGUUUAAGAUAGCGAUUAUCUAAGAUCAAUUACUGAGAUUUGGAAUAACCACCGUUAUCAGACGUAGCCCAUAUUGUAAUUUUUUUUUUUUGGGAGGGGGACAUUUAAUCACCGGGCCGGUUGAAUGUGGAACUCGAUUAACUAUAUAAUUACCCAACCCGUCCCUGGUGGGUGGUUAAAACCGUUAGGGAUUGGAAACCUUUCACUAAGACUCAACUUUACAAUAUUAUCUAUUUAACAAUGGCUUCGUCACAAACCGCGAACCGGUCGUUCAUUUGCAGGACGAACGGGUCAAGAUGGCAGCAAAUUUGGGCAGUAACUAGUUAAACAGUUAAAGGUUAAUCUUUUGGCUAACUAAAUUAGAAUGAUAAAAAAUAUAACUAGUUAAACAAUUAAGUAGCAGGCAGGUACCUAUAGCUUUGGUUACAACUUACGAAUUAUAUACAAGUACCUAUUAAGUUAUUUAGAUACUUAUAUAUUAUAAGUAUUUUAGAUAGGUAGGUAUCUAACCUAACCCACUGAGGUUUACUUACUACUAGUAAUAACAAUUUGUAUUAUGCUAAUAUUUCCAACCCAAACCGAUCAACCAAUUCCCGGCAGUAUUCCCAAAAAUAUUGUACGACGUCAUAAUACUCAUGGUAAACCAACAAAAUGUACUCAAAAGUAAAUUAAUAAAGAAUAAAAUAAUAAUAAACUUCCCUACUUAUUUAUUUUAACUAUUAUAAUGAUAAUUUCCCGCAACAGCAGGUAUACCUACAUACUAUUAUCGUCAAAUAAUAUAUGAGGGAAAUGUUAAAAACCACUGCACAAUAUGGUAUCUAGUAAGAUGCCUAUCUACAUAAUACAUAAUACAGCAGGUACUACUUACUUCAAAUUUCAUUUAAAAAAAAAACCGAUGUAUCCUAUGGGUGGGCCACUGUUGUAGGUAAGAUGUUGGGAAGGAUAUAGGGGGAAUUUAAUAUUUAUCAGAACAAAAACAUAAAUCAUUGCUAACGAAAAACGAUUCUAAGCAGAAUUCGGUUAAAUAUAUUUUGAAAGGUCAUAAUAUUUACAAUUUGAAAAUAAUACAUUUUGUAAAUUUUCCCGGUUUUCCUACGUUUUUCCCAUUUAUUAUGAAAACCCUUGGAAAAUCAAUAUAUGACCUCCCUAGUAAAAUUUCCUUUCAGAAAAGGUGCUACAUUUGAAAGUUGGAACAGGAUUUCUGUUAGGAAAGUUAUUCACAAAUCACAGAUAAAAAAAUAAAUAAAUAUCAUUAUAAAGCCAAUACAUUUCUCGCUUCACUUAGAACCUAAUACAUAUUUAUAUAUAUUAUAAUAAAUUAAACAAAAAGUUAUCUUAGAAAAUAAUAUUACUUUUUAUUAACCAAAAAAAUAACCCUAAGUAAUUAUUUUCCAUUAAAUGUCUUCAUAUUUUGUACAAAUAAAUUAUAGAUAAGUAAGCAUUUUAAUAAUUUACCAAUUUUACAGGUCCACCAGACAAACUGCCCAGUAUUGACAAAGACACUUUCUAUAAUCCAAAGAUGGCAAAUGAAAAACUUAAUAGUAAGUAGCUUUAAGAAAUAUAGAUUAUCUACAUUAUAUAGAAUAAUAAUACCUAUCAGUUUGUAUUUUAUGAAAACAAAUAUGGUAGGUACCAUAACCAGGGAAAAAAUUCAUAGGGCACUAUAAUUUGUAUUUUUUUCUACCUUCCUACUAUUUUUUAGAAUGAUAGAAUACACCAAAAUAACUUAGGUAACCAAAAUUUAAGAAGGUAGGAUAAUAAUGUGAUUUUAUUUGUAUCUAUAAACAAUAAAUCAUAGUUAACAAAACAAAAAAAACGAUUCUGAGAUAAGUUAGGUUAUUCAUGUAUAGAUAAUUAGAUGUCUGGUUUUUUUUAUUGUAAUAUUAUUCAAAUUAUGCACUUAAGCUAAUGGAUAUUUAGAAUAAUAUUACCUUUAUGAUUUUUAAUUUCAGAAGCAAAAAGUCACAGAUUCAAAGUUAGCAGUUAAAUGUACAAUUUGUAUUUAUUUUUUUAAAAUUAUAAUGUGAUUAAUAACUUAUAAUAUUUAUGUCGUAUACUAUUCAAAUUAAAAAUGAAUUGUAUUAUUUUAUACAUAUUAUUGUUGUAAAUGGUGUGUAUUAUGUUUUUUUUUUAGCUUAGAAAAUUUAAAAUACAAACAAUGUAUUUACUUGCAUUUGUAUGAUACCAAAAUCAAGUUUUUACAUUAGAGUUUUUCUACUAUAUUAAAAACCAGUGGUGUCUUUUCAAUUUUUUUUUUUUUUUUAAUGCACACGUGAUUAUGUUAUUGAUACAAACAUAAUACAAAAUUAAUUUUCGAGUAGUUCAAAUAUUAGUUAAUUAAAUUAUAUGUAACACAAAAUUUAAAUG